ACGGAGGGUGCAAGCGUUGUUCGGAAUUAUUGGGCGUAAAGCGCGCGUAGGCGGUCUGUUAAGUCUGUUGUGAAAUCCUCGGGCUCAACCGGAGAACUGCAUUGGAUACUGGCAGACUUGAGUACGGAAGAGGGGAGCGGAAUGUCGGGUGUAGGGGUGAAAUCCUUAGAUAUUCGGGGGAACACCGGUGGCGAAGGCGGCUCACUAGACCGUUACUGACGCUGAGGCACGAAAGCGUGGGGAGCAAACAG
rnacentral:rRNA from 1 species